GCUUACUUGUGGCUAAGUCAGUAAAGCAUUAAGCUAGCAAUACAAAGGUUGUGGGUUCAAACCCCAGGGAAAACA